CGUCAUUAUCAACCCUCAAGCCCGGCUUGCUGUUGGGUCCCGCCGUUGCAACGACGGCGGACCCCAAAGAUAAUGGCAGAGUCCGCGGGGACCUGGAUGCAGCGAGCUUCACGGCACGUGUCUGGGCUUUCUCCGGGCUCGGUCUUAACCAAUCUUCUCUGGUUGACCUCGGAUCAGGUAGGGAUACCCGCUGAACUUAA
rnacentral:misc_RNA from 1 species